ACAAUAGAUUGUCCAAUCGAUUGUAUUUGUCACAGGUGAGGUCAUUUUUCAAAUGAUACUUUGUCAAUCGAUUUGCCAAUCGAUUUCCUCAGCACUGGAGUGCCACUGUGACUCAUCCAAUCGAUUUACCAAUCGAUGUGUUACCAUCAGGUUUGAUUUGUGAAAUGUUCAAUCGAUUUACCAAUCGAUUACUCUCCAAAUCAGAGGCUACUGACUUGUGCAGUUU
rnacentral:lncRNA from 1 species